UACGACUACAUAUCAGGCAUAUCAAUAAGCGGAGGAAAAGAAACUAACUAGGAUUCCCUUAGUAACGGCGAGUGAAGCGGGAAGAGCUCAAAUUUGAAAUCUUCAAGGUUCUACCUUGACGAAUUGUAGUUUAAAGAAGUGUUUUCUGUUGGAGUUUUCGGUAAAAGUUCUUUGGAAUAGGACAUCAUAGAGGGUGAGAAUCCCGUAUUUGACCAUUUACUUCCAGCUGUGUGAUACACUUUCAAAGAGUCGGAUUGUUUGGGAAUGCAGUUCCAAAAUGGGUGGUAAAUUUCAUCUAAAGCUAAAUAUUGGCGAGAGACCGAUAGCGAACAAGUACCGUGAGGGAAAGAUGAAAAGAACUUUGAAAAGAGAGUUAAACAGUACGUGAAAUUGUCAAAAGGGAAGCGUUUGACACCAGUGUUGUUUUCUCGAAAAUCAAUUAAAAAGUAUGGGAUUUUGUAUUGUUAAGACCUUAUCAGCUUACGGUACUUUUUUCUUAUUCUUUUUAAUGCACUUUUCGUUUAACAAGUCAACAUCAAUUUCUUUUGUUGUAAAAGAGUCAUUGGAAGGUGGCUUUCACUUCGGUGAAAGUGUUUAUAGCCUUUGGCUUCUGCAAUCGGAGAGAUUGAGGUCUGCAGCGUAGAUCCCUUCGGGGUUAGAUACGUAGAUGCUAAGUUAUAGUUUUUCAUAGACAACUUGUUGACUAUGAUUAAUCAUGUAGCUUACUCGUUUGCGCUAUUUUACCUACGCUUAGGAUGUUGACGCGCGUGUGUGCGUG
rnacentral:rRNA from 1 species